rnacentral:rRNA from 1 species
UCCUACGGGAGGCAGCAGUGAGGAAUAUUGCUCAAUGGCCGCAAGGCUGAAGCAGCAACGCCGCGUGAGGGAUGAAGGAUCUAUGGUCUGUAAACCUCUGUAGAGAAGGAAAAAUAACCCAUUAUAUGGGCUUGAUAGUACUUCUAGAGUAAGCCCCGGCUAACUACGUGCCAGCAGCCGCGGUAAUACGUAGGGGGCGAGCGUUGUCCGGAAUCACUGGGUGUAAAGGGUGCUCAGGCGGGUCGAUAAGUCAGAGGUGAAAUUUCACAGCUUAACUGUGAAUGUGCUUUUGAUACUGUCGGUCUAGAGUUCAGAAGAGGGCAAUGGAAUUCUUGGUGUAGCGGUGAAAUGCGUAGAUAUCAAGAAGAACACCAGUUGCGAAGGCGGUUGCCUGGUCUGUAACUGACGCUCAAGCACGAAAGCGUGGGGAUCAAACAGGAUUAGAUACCCUUGUAGUCU